AUGGUCCAACUACAGAACUUCUUCUUUUUCAUUACUUCCAUGGUCGUGCCCCGUGGCACGGCAACACCCGUACUAUUGAAAUGGUUCGUCAGUAGAGAUGUUCCCACUGGUGCCUCUUCUUCCAAUGGUACUAUAAUUCAUAUUCCUAUCCCUUUAUUCCCUUUUUUGGUCUAUCUACAUUUAAGGAAAUUCAUACGCUCCAUGGACAGAGCAAAAAGUGGAGUGUUGGUCAAAGCAAGCCGCCCUAUUCUAUUACCAGACAAAAUGGAGAGAAGCUCAUCCGCUAGAAAUGCUUUAUUUCGUUUCGUUCCCGUUCUUUAUUUCCUUAUUAUCGAAUCCAUGGGGGACUUGUCAUAUUUAGAAUCUUUCUGCGGUCUGCUCUGUUUACAAUUCUUUUGUACUCUCUUCUCUUUACCACGCGAUGGGUCAGUGAAGCGUGAGCGGGCGCUCCGAAGUAAAGGCCAAACACUUCGGCCUAAGGGGAAUGAGCAACAAAAUGACAAGAUGAGGUACCCCGGGCACCCCCAUAUAGAAAGAAGGGUCGAAGGUUUUGGUCCUGUAGCUUCCCCCCCCCCUCGUCGAGUGGUGCUUGUUUGGGGGUGUGCCACCAGAAAGCGGGCUUGA
rnacentral:rRNA from 1 species